rnacentral:rRNA from 1 species
UACGUAGGGGGCAAGCGUUGUCCGGAAUCAUUGGGCGUAAAGAGCGUGUAGGCGGCCCGAUAAGUCCGCUGUGAAAGUCCGGGGCUCAACCCUGGAAUGCCGGUGGAUACUGUCGGGCUCGAAUCCGGAAGAGGUGAGUGGAAUUCCUGGUGUAGCGGUGAAAUGCGCAGAUAUCAGGAGGAACACCAAUGGCGAAGGCAGCUCACUGGGACGGUAUUGACGCUGAGACGCGAAAGCGUGGGGAGCAAACAGG